rnacentral:ncRNA from 1 species
GCAUUUUUGAUUAACGCCCGCCGUUGGCGGGCCUCACCUGAG